CCCUGAGGGGACCAGGCCCGGGAACCCCGAGCGGACCAGGCCCGGGAACCCCGAGCGGACCAGGCCCAGGGACCCUGAGGGGACCAGGCCCGGGGACCCUGAGGGGACCAGGCCCGGGACCCCGAGCCGCUCCCGGGCGGGGACACCCACUUUUCCCCGCUCCGCAUGGGGACGUCCCUGUUCACAUGCCCCGCUGGCGGUAGGAAUGAGUCGGGUCCCGAGCGCAGUGGGUGCUGUGAGGGGUGUCCAGGAGCACCGGCCCUCAAAAGUGCUCUGCUGAUGUCAGUGGAAAGCAGCCCUGCAGCAACACAACUUCAACCCCCGAGUAAGCAAUAGGGAGUCAGGGUGGAGUCCAGGGUGGAGAGAGAGAUUUAUCAUUGCUGAGCAGGCAGAAAAAUGAGAGCAGCAGCAGGGAGGAUCCCAGCUUGAGGCCUCUGUAUGAACAACUCAGGCCUGAGCUGAGCACCAGUGACACUGGACAGGCUGGAUCUGGAG